GACGUAGGGUGCAAGCGUUGUCCGGAUUUAUUGGGCGUAAAGAGUUCGUAGGCGGUUUACCAAGUCUGAUGUUAAAUACUGGAGCUCAACUCCAGCACGGCAUUGGAAACUGGUAGGCUAGAGUCUGGUAGAGGCAAGGGGAAUUCUCGGUGUAGCGGUGAAAUGCGCAGAUAUCAGGAAGAACACCUAUGGCGAAGGCAGCUCUCUGGGACGGUACUGACGCUGAGACGCGAAAGCGUGGGGAGCGAACAGG
rnacentral:rRNA from 1 species